GAACUGAGGAUUUUCACGGGAAAAAUGGAGGAAUCGCAAAACAGAGGAAAGGCUAGAGGGAAAGCAUUUGGAACGAAGGAAAUCGUCGAAUCCUUUCCUCUGGAAUCCUGUAGCAGCUCUUUGAUUUCACAGGAAACGAAAAAUCUACUCCUACCCCUGGUUUUCGCUUCCGUUGCGGAUGCCCGAGGCAGCCCACGCCGUCAGCACACCAAAAUGAGGAUUAGCGCUCAAGCUUGCUCACCGUCCUCUCCUCGGUGACCUGCAAGACUUCUCCAUCUGCUACCCUGCGCUGUGCCCUUGGUGACGCCGGGACGGCAUGCUGCAUCGCGAAGAAAUAUCUAGCUGCUACAAGCAAGCGCCGUUCCUGCACAAGCAACCAGUGAACCAGGUCCUCCGCCGGCACCAUGAGAUGCGAAGUGGGGAGAGAGAGAGCAACGACCACCAGGUAUGGAUGGGAAGAUGAAGGGAUAAGGCCC
rnacentral:lncRNA from 1 species